GGCCGGUUGGCUUAAUGGUAAAGCGCCAGUUUCCGGAGCUGGAGAUUGCAUGUUCGAGUCCUGCAUCGGUCG
rnacentral:tRNA from 3 species